rnacentral:sRNA from 1 species
UCCUAGCCGUGAUUGCAGCGAAAAUCCUUUUUGAAAAAAAGAUUGCAGCGGAAAGCGCGAAAAAGC